GCCUACGGGGGGCAGCAGUAGGGAAUCUUCCACAAUGGGCGAAAGCCUGAUGGAGCAACGCCGCGUGGGUGAAGAAGGUCUUCGGAUCGUAAAACCCUGUUGUUAGAGAAGAAAGUGCGUGAGAGUAACUGUUCACGUUUCGACGGUAUCUAACCAGAAAGCCACGGCUAACUACGUGCCAGCAGCCGCGGUAAUACGUAGGUGGCAAGCGCUAUCCGGAUUUAUUGGGCGUAAAGAGAACGCAGGCGGUCUUUUAAGUCUGAUGUGAAAGCCUUCGGCUUAACCGGAGUAGGGCAUUGGAAACU
rnacentral:rRNA from 1 species